GGUACUGAAAAGUGUACUUCUUGUUUGAAAACUUGUCUGUAUGGCCUCCCCCCACCAGUCCCUUUCUCUCUCAUCCUCUGCCUCCACCCUCAAAUUGACUUUCAAUAGCUUUUCUAAGAGCUUUGAACUGAAUGUUCUCUUUAGCCAAAACUUGGCCACUUCCACUGAAGAAUCAGACCAGCAAGAGGGAGAGGGAGAUCUGACCUUUUGUAAGUCACCAUUCCGAUCCAGGUCUGCUUUCUCAUUUGUGGCCCAGGGAAAAGCUUGGGGCUGCAGUCAGAGGAAAAGGAAGUGGUGGCUUGACUGUUUUCCUACUUAGGACACUGAAGAUUUGAUCCCUCUUUGCCCUUAUCUUUAAAAGAUCUGAAUGUUUUCUGCCUGACUCCAUACAGCUACAAGCAUCAUCCACCCUCCCUUCAGUGUUUUGUGGGCCUGAACUUCACCAUGCUGCAUUACAUCCACAGUGGUGAAGCUUGUCCACUUCCUUGGGCAUGUUCACAGACUCUCUGCUAAGAACUCCCACCACUAAGAAGGCUAGCAAGCCAGCAGUCUCAAUGUCUAUCUCUAGAUGCCAGUAGGCUCAAAGACUUCUUAGCAAAUGUCUCUCAUCAAAUAUCAGAUCUCUGGAGCCCUUAGACAAACUGGAAAGAAGGCAUCAAUGGGAUUGGACAAGCUGAGCGUCUUGCUCUUGUCCCCCAGAGAUGACACCUUCCCACAAAAUGGAGAAAUGCCGACUUCCACCUUCAGAGCAGCUAAAGGGGCUACCCAGAUCAGGGUUGAAGAGAAAACACAAUUACUAAGGUGGGAAGAAUGAAGGCACUAGAACCAGAAACUCUGUAAAUGCUCUCCUUGCCACCCAGCAUAUCCACCUGCAGAAGUCAUGGGAAGAAGAGAGAAGAAACCAAGAGAAGACUGACUGCUGAAGUAAAAGUCUUCAGAAGCAAAGUCUAAAGCCAGAUGGGCACCAUCUGGUGAGUUUACUCAUCAUCCUCCUCUGCUGCUGAUUCUGGGCUCUGACAUUGGCCAUACUCACUCAGACUCCCCACCUUUGUUGCUGCCUUUCAGCCAGAGGAAGCUGAAAGAUUGAGACUACAGAACCAUGGCCUCCGUUGGAAAGUUUGGUGUGGCUCCAAUGGGCUGCCACCCAUGAACUCGGUGUGUUCCUGGGAUACUGGUUUCAUAUAGUCCUUUGGCACACCUCUGUUCUGUUGAGUUUGUCCCCCAGUCGCGAGUAUAGGGGAAUGUCCACCUACUUUCUCAUCUUGGCCACUGCCUCCUCACUUAGCUCUUAAAUUCAUCUGCUAAACAAGAAAUGGCCAGUCACCAAGCAGCCCAUUUCAGUUGGUUCACUCUACUUGUCGUUGAGAAGAUAGUUUCUGAGUGACAUGAUAUGAUCUACAUGGGUUUCCUCCCCUGAUUUCUGUUGAUAUUAAUAGCCAAAUGAACUUUCAAAACAGCUUCUUUAAAUAACAAGGGAGAGGGGAACCUAAGAUGGGUGUUAUACCAAUCCAAGACUGCUGGACAGAACUAAAGCUGACAGGUUCUGUUUCUGGGGUAGGAUAGAACAAUUCUGUUUUUCUUUGUUAUGACACCAUUUGGCUUAUGUAGGAUCACAGGAUCACUUUUAGCUGUUUUAAAGAGAAAAAAUUCACUACUUUUUCAUUUAAACUAGGUUACCUUUUAAUAGUUCCUUUACAUCUGUUUUGAAAUGAUUCUCAUCUUUUGUGGUGCAUGGAUUCAAUUAUAUCAUUCUAAUACCUCUCCUUGUAAAUAUUAGAUGCUCUCCUUUCCAUUUCUCUGGCUAUCAAGUUUUUCAUCUUUAUGGAUUUCCCAGUUGUGACUCUUGUCUUUAUGAAUAUAUGUUUUUCAUCUGUGAAAGCCAAAAUUCAGUGAAACGGCAGUGUAAUUAAAAACAGCAACAACUGGAUUACUCCGAAUUUCUGAAUGGCAAGACUAGGGAAAAAUGGCCUAAACAAGAAUUUAAGCCUACUGUUUUUGCACUGGGGUUUCAGUGAGCAAAGGAGAUUUUAGCUUGGCUUUGUCUCCCACAGAUGAAAGUGGGAUUAUUUUUUUCUUUUGGCCAUUGUUGUUCCAGCCAGUGUAAUUGACAGAAGUCUCAUUUUGCAUGCACUCUGCUCUGCAAACAGAGUUGAUGUAGUUGGUACACUGUGCUCACCCUUGAAGGAUCGGCAACUCACACUCACACAACUGGUGAGCUUAAAGAUGAGGAUCACUCACCAGACAAGUGACGGGGACUCUCUCCAAAAAGGUUUGCAGUGCUCAAUGGGGAUGGAGAGUGAGGAAGAGAAAAAGAAGAAGCACCAGAGCGAAGGCCCCAUCUGUGUUUGGCAACAGAUAGCAGCCAGGGUCACAAACUCUGUGGUCAAAGAAAAGAGUCGUGUGGCAGUUUCAGCUCUUGUUCAUUGGGCAGCUUGCCCAGGCCUGGCCUCUGAAUUGAAACGGGGGUUGGGUUCUUUGUUCCAUAGCUUUUCUAUGCCACAGACAGUAUCUUUGUUCUUGGAGAGUUCAUUAUUUUUUUAAUGAGAAAGGGUUUCUUUGAAGGAUUCUGUCAUAUAUCUUAAAGAAAAUCAGUAAUACAUAUAUUUUUAUAUAUGUUCACUGGCACUAAAAUAUGGGGGGGAAAAAGCUUCACUCUGUCCUCUGGGUAGUUGCUGAGGUGACUGUCUAGGUUGAGAAAUAAUGUGCUGAUGCUAGAGUCCCUCUCUGUUCAUACUCUACUUCUAAAUAUAUAUAUACAUAUAUAGCAAGAAGUAUUCUAUUUGUACUUUAAGAGAAAAUAGGCCCACCAUUCACAUGAUACUGACACUACACAAGUGACCUAACUUUAAGCAUCAAGUAGCUUCUGUUUGUUUCAUUAGGCAGAGCACAGACAUGGCCUUUCUUUCUCCCUUGAUAUUCAGCAUGGCUCAAAAGCCCAAGCCACUCCCUCUGUCCCUUCCCAGUCUUGUGCUAAGGUUGCAUUUCAUGAGACUCUCUUCAGACAGCCCAGUAAGUAUCCCUGCAUGGUCCCUACAUGGCCCUGGAAAAACAAGAGGUUGACUACUAAUUAUCUUAUGCCAGUUGCCCAGGUGAGAGGGCACUGGGCCAAGGGGGUGGCCGUCAUGCUCAACCACAUGUAGGGGCUCAUGGGAACCAGGAAUGCUAAAACACAAGAUCCAAUCCCAAACUUAAAGUCAAAAUAAGCCAUUUAGCAUGUGCAAUUUCUUAUAAAAGGAUAUUUCUACCCUUGCUGCCUUUUAUAGGCAGGUCUGUUCUCACCACUAAUCUCUUUGAAAAUCUGUGAAAGCAGUUUUAAAAAACAAAGUGAUGAGAGCAUCACAUUACGUAACCAAAGAUUACACUGUAUCUGCUAAAAUACCAAAAUUUUUAAGGCCAGGGAGGGAGCAAGCAUUAGUGCCUCUUUGGUAACCUAUCCAAAGGCAGACUAAAGGAUUUUGCUGGUGACUGACUUAUAAGAGUUUUGUGGGGUUUCCCCCACAAUAUACACGUUUAGAAGAGUGGAAGAUAAUUUUGAAAAGAAAUGGAUUAUGGGUCCUUCAGUAAGUGAUUUUUUAUAAGCAGAACUAGCUUUCCUUUUCUGUUGUAGUUGCUGAGCAAAUUCUUAAAGCUCCAUCAUUGCAUGGUUAGAAGUGGAGCUGUCUUGGCCAUUGUGUUUGCUAGUGCCAAUGUUAGCUUAUCUGAAGAUGUGAAGCCCUUGCUGAUAAGAGGAGCAUUUAAAGGACUAGAUUUUGCACUAGAAGGACAGCAGGCAGUAAUCCUCAUUUCUGCCCACUUUGAAUGGCACAAAAAAGUUCUCUGUGGUUUAAGGCAGAAGGUUGAAAUAUAUUGUAAAUGAGUAUUUGUAUCCAUGUUUCAAAAUUGAAUUAUAUGUGUUCUGAUAGCUUUACCUUUCUCUGCACCUUUAUAUUUGGUUCCAGGUCAUAAUUGAUACCAUGUAUUUGUGAGAGAGGCCAAAGCUACGUUUUGGGAGCUCUCUCAGAAUGGAAAAGACACCUGGGUUGAUCAGAUAACCAAGAGAUCUCUGCUCCUAUUGAGGCCUGACCCACAGACCUUGCAAAGGAGCAGAGGGGGGAAAAGCGUAAGGUACAUGAUGUGUUGCACUUUACUAGCCCAAGACAGAUGAAUGUGUAAAGGGUGGUGAAGUCUCAUUGGAACUGACUGGGAUUUACCAUAGGGAAGGCCCAGACUUGGGGCCAAAGGCCCACCCAAGCAAUUAUCCAGUGACCCUCUAAUGGGACCUGUGCAGUUGGAAGAAGGAAGGGUAUUUUUUGUUCUUCGCCAUCCCUGUGAGAAAAGGGCAGUUUCCUGCACUUGGGAACCUGGAGCAAGUGCUCCAUUUCAAACAAUUCACUCACCUGCAACUGAGGUGCUCUUGCUACUGGGUGUCUAUUCUGGUUUUGGAUACGUUCUGUAAAGAUUUUGACAAUGAAAAUGUGUUUUUCUUUGUUAAAAAAUUUAUCAGUGUACUAGAAGUAGUUUAUCUGUAGGUACAGGUCCAUCUCUGCUCACAGGUAAGGGUGUUUUUCUUCAAUUAAGAGACUGACACUGGGGUCUGUUGCCCAGAGCCUCCCAACCCUUAACCAUUUCUAGGUGAAGGCAGAAAAAUCCACAAUUAGUCACUCCUCCAAAGACACUUCAGCUGAGGUAACAAACCAUUCGGAAUGUUCCCACUCCAAAAAUAAGUGGUAAAUUUUGUAAUUUAGCAGGCAGAGUCUUAAAGGGAAAAGCAGCCUUUGACUCAUCUUUGAUUUCUCCCCAUUAGAUUUGGCCAGAAAAUAGAUAAUAUGCAUGGGUUGGUUUCCAACCCCAAUUCAGUAGAGUGGGAGUGCUGAUUCCUUUCCUUAUCCCACUUGUCUCAGCUUUUUAUAGAAUUAAAUGAGAAGCUAUCAUCUGAGUGGUCCUUGUGGCCUAAAACAGUUUGCACCUGCACUACUUAAAAAGGCUGUCACAUAGCUACAGGUUCCAUUGGCCACCAAAGACUGGAGCCCACACAUAUGUCCCAAAGGAAAGGAAAUUCUGGAAUGCUGCUGCUUCUCUGGUGGUACCCUCCUGGGCUGAUGCUUCACAUUUUGGAACUCUCUUCACUGAGCAUUUACAUAGACCAGGCCUGCAGUCUCUCCCAACCUUAGCCCUUGGUGCUAACUGUCCUGCAGUGAAGUGCAUGUGGGGUUGUCCUAUCCCAUAAGCCACUCAGGUGCUGAGAGUAGCCACCAUUGGGAUGACCCAAACUAAAAAGAGAGUCCCCUCCCACUACUCAGUAACACUUUUCUGCUUUCCCCUAGACUGGAACAUUGAUUAGGGAGUGCCUUGGACAUGACAUUCUUGUGCUGUCCUUGAGAUUCAUUUGGCAGCAGGAGGGAGCAGACUAUGUAACCAGAUGUAAGAAUUAUUUUUUUAUGUUGAGGG
rnacentral:lncRNA from 1 species